GCAGAGAUGCUGUUCAGGUGGCGUGCCCUGGUUCAGCCGAAUAGCAGAUCAUGGUAAAGUCUGCUCUACCCGGUUGGUGCUUGUGCCAAGCAAUGCCAAUUAUUAAAUGCUUGGACCAUCUUCCCUACAGGUGAGGAACUGAAAUUGAGCACUUGAAUGCCUGGAACCACAUAUCCAACCAAUGGCAGCCAUUGUCCUCUCAAAGCCGGUUCACUUGUUCUCAAGACACUUUAUGUCGAGCCACAGCUACUUCAUGUACUGGGAGCACCACUCCUGAAGAAGCUGACUCAGCUUCAAUGCAAGGAAGAAAGUCUGACUAGUUAGGUGGAACAUGGGAUCUGUAAAGCAUGGUGCUGUGCAAGAGGUGGUGGAAUGCAUGGGCAAAUGAUCUCUGGAGACUCUAGCAAUCAUUCCGAAGUCUGUGUUCAAGC
rnacentral:lncRNA from 1 species